GACGAACGCUGGCGGCGUGCUUAACACAUGCAAGUCGAACGGAAAGGCCCUGCUUUUGUGGGGUGCUCGAGUGGCGAACGGGUGAGUAACACGUGAGUAACCUGCCCUUGACUUUGGGAUAACUUCAUGAAACUGGGGCUAAUACCGGAUAGGAGCUCUUGCUGCAUGGUGGGGGUUGGAUAGUUUCGGCGGUUGGGGAUGGACUCGCGGCUUAUCAGCUUGUUGGUGGGGUAGUGUCUUACCAAGGCUUUGACGGGUAGCCGGCCUGGGAGGGUGACCGGCCACAUUGGGCCUGAGAUACGGCCCAGCCUCCUACGGGAGGCAGCAGUGGGGAAUAUUGCACAAUGGGCGGAAGCCUGACGCAGCAACGCAGCGUGCGGGAUGACGGCCUUCGGGUUGUAAACCGCUUUCGCCUGUGACGAAGCGUGAGUGACGGUAAUGGGUAAAGAAGCACCGGCUAACUACGUG
rnacentral:rRNA from 1 species